rnacentral:rRNA from 1 species
GUGGGGAAUAUUGGGCAAUGGGCGAGAGCCUGACCCAGCGACGCCGCGUGAGGGAUGACAGCCUUCGGGUUGUAAACCUCUGUUGUAUGGGAAGAAGGAAGUGACGGUACCAUACGAGGAAGCUCCGGCUAACUACGUGCCAGCAGCCGCGGUAAUACGUAGGGAGCGAGCGUUGUCCGGAAUUACUGGGCGUAAAGGGCACGCAGGCGGUCAUAUAAGUCAGCUGUUAAAUGUAUGGGCUUAACCGAUGCAUGCGGUUGAAACUGUAUGACUGGAGUACUGGAGAGGUAAGCGGAAUUCCCGGUGUAGCGGUGAAAUGCGUAGAUAUCGGGAAGAACACCAGUGGCGAAGGCGGCUUACUGGCCAGUUACUGACGCUGAGGUGCGAAAGCCAGGGGAGCGAACCGGAUUAGAAACCCCAGUAGUCC